AACGAACGCUGGCGGCGUGCUUAACACAUGCAAGUCGAGCGCGAAAGGGGGGGCAACUCCCCGAGUAGAGCGGCGCACGGGUGAGUAACGCGUGGGUAACCUACCUCCGGGCGGGGGAUAACUACUCGAAAGGGUGGCUAAUACCGCAUGAGACCACUGGGUCCUCGGAUCCCGAGGCCAAAGAUGGCAUCGGCUUGCCGGGGCUGUCACCUGGAGAUGGACCCGCGUACGAUUAGCUAGUUGGCGAGGUAACGGCUCACCAAGGCUACGAUCGUUAGCUGAGCUGGGAGGAUGGCCAGCCACACUGGAACUGAAACACGGUCCAGACUCCUACGGGAGGCAGCAGUGAGGAAUAUUGCGCAAUGGGGGAAACCCUGACGCAGCAACGCCGCGUGGGUGAAGAAGGCCUUCGGGUCGUAAAGCCCUUUCGGACGGGACGAACGUUUCGCGGGGCUAAACCGCGAAGCUUGACGGUACCGUAAGAAGAAGCACCGGCUAACUCCGUGCCAGCCGCCGCGGUAA
rnacentral:rRNA from 1 species